rnacentral:rRNA from 1 species
AGUGAACGCUGGCGGUAGGCCUAACACAUGCAAGUCGAACGGCAGCACAGUAAGAGCUUGCUCUUACGGGUGGCGAGUGGCGGACGGGUGAGGUAUACAUCGGAAUCUACUUUUUCGUGGGGGAUAACGUAGGGAAACUUACGCUAAUACCGCAUACGACCUACGGGUGAAAGCAGGGGAUCUUCGGACCUUGCGCGAUUGAAUGCGCCGAGGUCGGACUAGCUAGUUGUGGGGGGAAAGGCCCACCAAGGCCAUGUUCCGUAGCUGGUCGCAGAGAGUGAUCAGCCACACUGGAACUGAGACACGGGCCAGACUCCUACGGGAGGCAGCAGUGGGGAAUAUUGGGCAAUGGGGGCAAGCCUGAUCCAGCCAUACCGCGUGAGUGAAGAAGGCCUUCGGGUUGUAAAGCCCUUUUGUUGGGAAAGAAAAGCAGCAGGUUAAUACCCCGCUGUUCUGACGGUACCCAAAGAAUAAGCACCGGCUAACUUCGUG